rnacentral:lncRNA from 1 species
UUUGUUUUACAUGACAAGGCGGCAGAAGAAUAGAGCAUUUUGCUAUUUUUGUAACUCUGUUCAGAAGUUACCAAUCUGUGCACAGUGUGGUAAGUACACAGCCAUGAAGGCAUGUCUUUAUCAAUCAAGUGUCUGCGUGGCAGUCACCAAGUCUAGGAGGAGCUGUUCCCAAUUCAAAAUAAAACCCAGUGGUAUUUCUGAGAGAGGAAAUCAUGGUGUUUCCUAAGUAGCCUCCACAGGCUCUCAGUCUACUAGCAGGUCUGAUGAGAAGACACACUUACACUGAGUGUGCAGUUUUUGCCAGGUCUCCCCGUCUUGACAUUUCUGCUGUGUCUUCAUGGAGACUUGCCUUAGGCAACCUAGUCAGCUUUACUCCAGACAUACUGCAAGCUUCUCUGCACGAGCAAGUCGUACCUCUACUUAGAUGGGGAUGGGUUCAACUGGAGCCGGUUGGGGGUGUCAUUGAUGUGCUGCAGGUUAGUGGUUAGGGCUACAUGUGGGA